UCUUCACAAGGAAAGGCAAUAAGAAGGAAGUAGGCAUGAAGGGAAAAGCGUGAAGGAGAAACGAAGCUGCACAAAAAAGAAAAAAAACCAAAACACCCACAAAAACAACAAGAAAAAGGAUAGUGUUUUUAUUCUGCAGAUUCAGUGGGGGCAGAUGUAAAGCUGAGAAGUAUCUGUAAAGAUUUCCUGAACACAGUACUUACUAAAGUUUCCUGACUUUCCCAAGGAUGACUGUACCUCUGUGUGUGUAUGGCUGGAGAAAUUACAACUUUACAUGUAGUAUUUCAGCUUGCAGUUCUAAGCACCUCAAUUUCCUUGUCUUCACCAGAAGGUUGCUGCUGAUUCCCAGCUUCACAGUUUCAAGCCACACAGAUGUACUUCCUGCACCCAAAUUUCUAUCAGUUCGUCUUGAAGCACCUUCUGGAGCACUUUUCACAAGGCACAGCCUGUUGUGUUGCCUGAGGAUGUUUUCAAUGAGAACGUGUUGGAGUUCACAUACCUUGGAUUACUCGGGUUGAUCAUCCUCAUAGUUCUGCCUGGCCCUAAAAUGUAUUAAUUUUUUCCACACUGCCUGGACUUCAUUUCCUUGUGUAAGACUCAGGAUGUGGUAUUCCUUGAAGAAUUCUUUUGCACUGUAUAAUUUUACAAUAUGCAUAAUUUCUGCCUCUCCUCCUCCUCCUUCACAUCAUCUGCUAUGAGCAAGUAGGAGUGGUUGUGGCUGUUCUCUGUGUAUCUCAGUAAAUGGUUGCAUCAAAUGUUCAAAUGUUCAUAUCCUUUCUAUAUUAACAAAUGAUUUAUGAAAAAAAAUUGGAUUAUGGGUAGGAAAACGCCUGUAUAAAAUUUCAUAUAUUUAGCCUUUGUGCACUUUUUUCAACUGAAAUGACAAUCCUUAUCCCCGUGCUAGCAGAUUAAUACAUCCUUAAUGAGCAAGUUGAGCUAUAUUAUGUACUGCCAGAAUUCACUGUUUAAGCUCUGCCACUAGAAUUCCUGCAGAAAUUAUGUCCUUGAUUUCCACCUUCCAGCUUUCCCAUGGGAAGGACUCUCA